AUAUCUGAUAUGUGGGCCAUCUAUUAAACUUUAUGUUCUUAUAUGUUUAAUAUCUGAUAUGUGGGCCAUCGGCCCACUAUGAUAUUAAAUUAAUUUUUGUUGGGGAGGGUCCAUCUCAGUAGCUUGCUGCUGGGGCUCUUAAGUGUCACUCAUGCGUUGCACUAUAACAUGAGCUAGGCGCACCCUUA